rnacentral:rRNA from 1 species
AUGGAGGAGCUUGGAUUGAAGGAGGCCGAUCUCCAGGAUGUAGUGAUCGAGGAUGAAGAGCUUUCGGAGGAGGCGACUCGUUGGAUGGCGAUAGCUAGGGUUCACACGGACCGAACUUACAGCCAAUACUGGUUCUUCAGAAACAUGCGGGCGGCCUGGGAUCUGGCCAAGGAAGUGAAAAUCAGGCCGCUUGAGGACAACAUGUAUAUGCUGCAGUUUGCAUGCUUGGGUGAUUGGGAACGAGUGAUGCAGGAUGGGCCAUGGUCGUUUAAGGGCAAGGCGGUGGUGCUGGAACCCUACGACGGCUCCACAAAACCAUCGUCGAUAGAGCUCAACAAGAUAGAUAUCUGGAUACAGAUCCAUGAUUUCCCGAACGGUUUUUUCACAAAAAUCAAGGCUCUUGCGUCUACUGUGGGAGAGUUCAUAUACGCCGAGCCAAUGGCCCAGUAUUUUGAAGGAAACUUUGCUAGGGUUCGGGUGAGGAUCGAUGUAACCAAACCGCUCAAGAAUGCCGUGUCUCUGAUGGUCAGAAAGAAAGACACCGUCCAAAGAGAGAUCUUCAGGGUGAAGUAUGAAAGACUCCCGGAUUAG